ensembl:lncRNA CD27-AS1 CD27 antisense RNA 1
AGUCUCGAAAAGGCACUCUGUCACGUGUACACAGGAAAGGGCCCUGACAAGAGGAUGGGACUGCAGUUGUGGCUGCCAGGACAAGGAGAGGGACAAAUUCCUUCUUGGCAUCCUUAUGGCCCUGUGACCUGCUAAUGAAUGCUGACUCUGAGUUGCUACUAGAAUUUGGUUUCCUUGUGGCUUCCCAGGAAUUGUGAGCCAUGUUGGAUAAGGACCUGCAAGGGAAGAAUGAGGAAGCCUGGGACAGUGCAGGAGGGGAGAGCACUGGUGGUAGAGAGGAGUGAUGACAAGGGUCUCCGCCAAAAGGGAAAUGGAGGGGUUAAAGAAGCUGCUGGGGAGGGUUAAAAACAAUGUGUUCUCACUCGUAGGUGGGAAUUGAACAAUGAGAACACUUGGACACAGGAAGGGGAACAUCACACACUGGGGCCUGUCGUGGGGUGUGGGGAGGGAGGAGGGAUAGCAUUAGGAGAUAUACCUAAUGUAAAUGAUGAGUUAAUGGGUGCAGCACACCAACAUGGCACAUGUAUACCUAUGUAACAAACCUGCACAUUGUGUACAUGUACCCUAGAACUUAAAGUAUAAUUAAAAAACAAAACAAAACAAAACAAAAACAAUGAGGUGCUAUUGUUUUAGUGGUGAGUAUCCGGAGACCUGGGAGUUCUAUUUACCAGGUAUAACCUGGGCUCAAAAUUCCAGGCUGACUUCAGGCAUGUCCUCAUCUCAUAGAUGCCAGCACUAAGGCCCAGAGAGGGCCGAGCUCAUUCAGCCCACCCAUCUUCUCACCCCUGACUGCAUUUCCCGGGGGUCCUUCUGCAGCCAGGUGCUGCUGUGGUACUUUGGGAUCUAUUGGCUGAGCUCCCAGAGAAGGGUCAUGGAUUGGGCUAGUUUGGAACAAGUGAAGGGACUGAAGAUGGGCUCAGUAUGGGGCGAAGACCUUCAGGAAGGGUCUGCAGAGUGAGUAGGGGGGUUUUGACUAGGAAAAGUUCCAACCCUGCCGGGGCCGCUGUCAAGAGAAAAGCAUCUAUUACAGUUACAUUUUUAAGUUAAGUAGACUGAAGAAUAUUUCUUGUGUAUUAAAGACGUUCCUUUUUGGUUGAUUUGCAAUGGAAAAGCUUUUGUUUUCUUUUUUUUUUUGGAAACAGGGUCUCACUCUGCUCACUCUGUCUCCCAAGCUGGAGUGCAGUGGUACAGUCACGGCUCACUGCAGCCUCCACUUCCUGGACUCAAGUGAUCUUCUCACUUCAGCCUUCUGAGUAGCUGGGACUACAGCCCCCUCUGCAGCUCUUCAUGGGGGUCCACUCAAGUCAGAAGCCACAUUUGGGUGUGAUUCAGAGAGCUGUUUAUGCAAAACCAGCUUUGUCACCAUCAGGCAAGGCACCUGAAUUCCCACCGCAGAGAGUGUUGUGGCCGUGAGGACUUUUCUGUCACCAGCCAUUUCCAGGUUGUGGUAGACCCAGUGUAAUCACAAGCAUCCUUGUAAGUGGCAAAGAGGCAGAGGAGACAGCGCCAGAGAGGCAGCUGCAUGAGAAGGAUCAAGAUGUUGCUGACUUUGAAGUUGGAAGAAGAAGGCCAUGAGCCUCAGUAUGUGGGCGGCUUCUAGAAGCUGGAAGGGGCAAGGAGAUGGAUUUGACCCUUCAGCCUCCAGGGGCAGCUGUACCUGCCAUCACUGAUUGUAGCCUGGUGAGGCCUGUUUUAGACUUCUGACCUGUAGAGCUGUAACAUAAUACAUUUGGGUUGUUUUCAACCACUAAGUUUGUGGUAAUUUGUUGUAGCAGCUGUAGAAAAUGAAUACAUAUGAAUCCUCUGGCAUUUGUUUGAGAUUUGCUCUAUGGCCUAGUAUGUGGUUGUAAAUGUUCCAUCUGUGCCUGAAAAAAUGUAUAUUUCUAAUUCAGUAGUCUCUGCUUUUUUUUUU